CUUUCUUUGCUCCACAGCGUCCUCCGUGGUGAGCUGGAGGGAAGCGUUCUCAGCAGAGGGUCGCCCUCACCAAGAAGCCAAAGGGAAGAGGACGGAAUCUGUCUUGUAGGGACGCCCUUGGUCUUCAGAAGGAACACUUUUUCUGUUUCACAACGAUCUGUGGAAUGUGUGGGUUCCCUGAAGAGGUGGACGGACCCCCGGGGUCGUGCGUUUUCUCAGCCCUGGGCCCCUAGCAGAGCUCGACCCUUCCAGAGCUCAGGGCCAGAAAUGUUGCGAUUCCGAACACUUUUCCCUUCUGAGAGGAGCCGCCCGGCAGACGCUCGUCAUUAAGAGGCAACGUAAUUAACGACGAAUGUUUCCCUUUGGCACUAAUGCGAACACCCUGGGGAACUGCCAAGUCUGAUAUGUCCACCGCCUUACAAAUGGGAUUCUCCGGCAUAUGACCAACGCUCGCAAUGGCUACUGGCCGUCUCAUGCCCAACAGGACAAUGUUUAUUUCCACCAGGAGAUGGCGCAUACCUUUUUUUUUUUUUUUAAAUCCCCAGGAAGGUCUCAGUGCUGCAAAAGCUACAUGACCAUUCUGCUUCUCAACUGACGGAGCAAAGGUAUAUUUCCAGUGGUAAUGCUAGGAAAUACUUUGCUAAGGAUGUUACUUUGGUCCUUCAGCCAGUGGUCAGAGAACAGAAUGACCAUACUGCAACCACCCAUGGUGAACUGACUGGCACACCCACAAAAAUCUUAUCUUUGGGGUCCCCAUAGUACCCAGUGGAUUGCCUUGCACAUUGUAGGUGCUCAGUAUGUGUUUGCUAAAGAUGUGACCCUGGAUAAAUCACUUCACCUCAAUUAGUCUGUUUCCCAAAUCUGAAAAUAAAAGUGGGGGAAUGGACAAGGUGACAGUUAAGGCCUUGAAUCAGAAGAGCCUCUGACGACGUGACAAAUAGCUUAUGCUUGCUGAAUGGCUGACUUCUCUGAAAGGGAAAACAGCAGAAUCUGAGAGGGGGCAGUGGAGCGGAGUUCUUCCUCUCCUGUGCUAACAGCCUGUAUCCUGACCAUCCUUGCCCCCAACUCCUCUCCCAGCAGCUGAGUGGCUUUUCAGACUGAGUUCUUUUUCUGAACUGCCAGCACCAACUUCCGUGCCUCUUACCUGUGCUUCAGCCGAAGUUUAACCCCUCCUGACCACGCUGCUUUCCUGUGCUGGGGGCCAGAGGUGAGGUGUUCUGGGCUGACGAAGUUAGAGACGCUAGUAUCUGCAUGGCCUGGGUCUGCGCACACAUCUCUGUCAACAAUAGGAAAAUAAGAAGCUGAGCAUGAUGGUGUUCAUGGACAGGAGCACAAAUGAAUCUUAAAAACCGAAAAAGCACAUGAAAAUGAACCCUGGAGCCAGACCAAAGCAGCACAGCUAAGUACAGGGUUCUAAGCCUGCACCUAACAAAGUCCUCUGCCCUAUGAAGGCAAAUCCACUACUGAGUGUCACGUCUUCCUUUUUUAUCUAUGUUCCUGUGAAGCAAUAAAGCAUCAUUUCCCA